CUGGCCCCUCAGUAUACCAUUUCUGGAUCUCAGAAUUAUCCAUGUAAAUUUGCAUCAACCUGCUGCUGAGCUUACUGCCUGAUCGAAGUAUACUAUCAGAAACCAAGCAGUGCUGAGAAAAAAAGAAAGAGAAAAGGAAAUGAAUGCACCCAAUUUGUGGGCAAACACCUAGCUGAUCCAGAUGGAUGUCCCCUCACUACGGUUUUUGAAGAACUGCCACAUGGUUUUUCACAAUGGUUGAACUAAUUUGCACUCCCACCAACAGUGUUGCACUUCUGAGGAUUGAAAUAUGGAAAGCAUCUUCUUUCAAAAGGAAAUAUCACCAAGAAGAAAGGCUCUAUCAGCAUGUAGCUUGGAACCAAAUGAGAUCCGAGGCUAAUAAAAGUUCUGAAGCCUGACCUUGCAGACAUCCCUACACCUUACACAGCAUUCAACCCAGACAAGGCGUAAUAGCCAACAUAAACCAUGCUCAAAUCCUGUUACCACUUACAGAUUUCCAAAUUGCCAGCCAAUAAAAUGGAAGAGAACCUGCGCAUCCACAUGUAGGAAAUAAAGAUAAAAAUUAGGUGAAAAAUAUAAUGGUUAGCAUUGGGAGGAGGGCAUAGGGGAUGGGAGGCUCAGGACAAAACACUAGAUACCAGCAGUAAAAUGGAAGAGAAAAGCUCACUGCGGCCAUUCUAAUUGCCAUGGAAUCAAGCCAAUAGGAGUAAAUGAAAGCAGCCUGGGUUUUAGUGUUUCGUCUUUUUCUGUUUGCACUGUUUUGUUUGCUUUUUAUCUUCUGUAAGGAUUAUAAAGCCAGACAUCCAGUAAAAUGAGAAACAUGGAAAACACAGUAAAGUUCCUGGCUCAUAUUAAUUGACAAAAUAAAUAUUAAUGGAGUUCUUCCUUCCUCUUCAGUAUAUAUCCAGUGUUAGAGAAUUUGCUGAUACUACCACUAUCAUCUCCGGUAAAUAAUUAGGCAUACUUUUCCCUUAGGGAUUUUGUUGUUGUUUUGUGAUUUGUUUUACUCAUUGUUCUGGUUUUUAACACUUGAUUUCACAUGACAGACCGAGAAAUUUGAAAAACCGUAUUUCUUGUAUGCUAUCCUAUUUCUUGGCUAAACAUUUCAUU